rnacentral:misc_RNA from 1 species
GAAACGCGAUAGUUAAUGUGAAUUGCAGAAUUCAGUGAAUCAUCGAGUCUUUGAACGCACAUUGCGCCCAUAGGUAUUCCUUUGGGCAUGUCUGUUUGAGCGUCAUUACAACCCUCAGCUAACCGCUGGUUUUGAACCUGAACGGGUGACACCGCGCCGGUUUUAAAGUUGUAAGCUCUGCUGGCCGCUCCGCCCAACCAGAACAUAGUAAGCACUACUUGUCCGGGUGAAGCUGAACGGUACGGCCUGAACAAAACCUACCCACUCUCAAGGUUUGACCUCAGAUCAGACAAGGAUACCCGCUGAACUUAAGC